rnacentral:misc_RNA from 1 species
UCCUAGUUAACCUAGGCAGUCUCGUUAGAGUUCCCAUCUUAAAUGUUGGCAACUAACGAUAAGGGUUGCGCUCGUUGCGGGACUUAACCCAACACCUCACGGCACGAGCUGACGACAGCCAUGCAGCACCUAUAUAGAGACCCUUUCGGGAGUUAUCAUUUCUGCUAACGUCCUCUACAUUUCGAGCCCAGGUAAGGUUCUUCGCGUUGCAUCGAAUUAAACCACAUGCUCCACUGCUUGUGCGGGCCCCCGUCAAUUCUUUUGAGUUUUAUCCUUGCGGACGUACUCCUCAGGCGGCAUACUUAUCGCGUUCGCUUCGACACAGUCGGGGUUGAGCCCAACUACAUCAAGUAUGCAUCGUUUACGGCAAGGACUAC